rnacentral:lncRNA from 1 species
CUAUAUUACACGGACAAUUAACAAGAGAUAAUUCUAAAAUAAUCUAUGUGUUGAAGCUACACAGGUGUUUAAAAACAUGCUAAUCCAAACCUUCCAUCUUAGUAACUGAGAACAAAAAGAAUGACAAUAAACUCUUAGAAUUAAAAUCUCAGACUAUGCAAGGCUAUAAAAAUCAUCAUUAACAUUCUCAGUUAUAUCUGAAAGCACAUUCUAAGCCAGAAAGGAAUUUAGUACUGGUGUCAACAGGAUUGACAUUUUUUUUUUGUUCUGCAUUCAAUUAGAGUAAAAAACCAUAAGAGAUGAUGAUCUUAACUUAGUCCAGAGUACUGAAAAGGAGAUAUCUUGGAAAAUUAAGAUUAUCUCUAAUUGUGAACACCUUGGCAAGUAAAGACAUCUAUUUCAUGAAAGAGCUUUACAAUAUUUUUAUUACAGCUUGCCUGCAAUAUUUUUAUUUCUUCUGUUUUUCAGAUCUGAAGAUCUAUUUUGAUUCUUCCCAGAAGCCACAAAGAGAAUACUCCACCAGACUUAACUUCAAGUAAAAAAGUCUUAUUUGACUCAAGUUUGCCAUUGCCUUCUGACAAAAAGCACCUGAAAAGAAGAAUACUUGUGUUUUCUAUGCAUAAAAUUCAAUAAAACAGAAGAAAUAAGAUAAAAUGAUAAAGUU